rnacentral:misc_RNA from 1 species
GCCAGGUGGCCUAAACCCUUUGGGAGGGAGCUGUCGAAGGUGGGAUCGGCGAUUGGGACGAAGUCGUAACAAGGUAGCCGUACCGGAAGGUGCGGCUGGAUCACCUCCUUUCUAAGGAGCACCACGAAAAGCAUCCCAAUUGGUGGGAUGCAGGCCGUGUGGAGUUCUCGUCUGUAGUGGACGAGGGCUGGGUGCACAACAACAAGUAAGCCAGACACACUAUUGGGUCCUGAGACAACACUCGGGCGCUAGCACGAAGUGUUGUCCCUCCAUCUUGGUGGUGGGGUGUGGUGUUUGAGAACUGGAUAGUGGUUGCGAGCAUCAACUGAUCGCGUCGCCGUUCGCGGUGGCGUGUUCUUUUGUGCAAUUUUAAAUUCUUUGGUUUUUGUAGUGUUUGUAAGUGUCUAAAGGCGCAUGGUGGAUGCCUGCAUAUCAA